rnacentral:rRNA from 1 species
AGUCUGGUGCCAGCAGCCGCGGCAAUACCAGCUCUUCUAGCAUAUAUUAAAGUUGCUGCAGUUAAAACGCUCGUAGUUUGAAUUAUUUCGGUGGCAGGCUGGCUGGAAAAUUUAAUUUUUCAAGCUGUCUGGUGCCGAAUUAAAGCUUGGGUAGAGUAGAUUAAUUUCUCUUUAUCCAUUUAACCUUGAAAAAACAUUGUCGCUCAAAAAAGGACGGAAAAGUCUAUUGAGAUUUCAGCAUGGGAUUAUGAAAAAAGGGAGGCGAGUGCGAAAGGGGGUAAAAGCCCGAUUGGCUCGUUUCCAAUGGUUAAUGAGGACGAUGCGUGGGAGUUCAUAUUAAUAAGUCAGAGGUGAAAUUCUUGGAUUUUAUUAAGAUGAACAUCAGCGAAGGCGUUCUUCAAGUGCGUGCCUGUCGAUCAAGAACGAAAGUUGGGGGAUCGAAGACGAUCAGAUACCGUCGUAGUCUCAACCUUAAACUAUGCCGACUAUGAAUAGGAUAUCGUUUUAAGAAGGGCGUCAAAAACCCUUCUGAUGACUUCUCCUGCGCAUUAAAAGAAAUUAAGAGUUUUUGGGUUCCGGGGGGAGUAUAGUCGCAAGGCCGAAACUUAAAGGAAUUGACGGAAGGGCACCACCAGGUGUGGAGCCUGCGGCUUAAUUUGACCCAACACGGGGAAACUUACCAGGUCCAGACAGCGUGAGGAUUGACAGAUUGAUAGCUCUUUCAUGAUUCGUUGGGUGGUGGUGCAUGGCCGUUCUUAGUUGGUGGUGUGAGUUGUCUGGUUGAUUCCGUUAACGAACGAGACCUUCGUUGUAUAAUACGAGGCGCUAGUUAGUAUCAAGGGUAGUGGUUCCUUCUUGAGAUACGAGCAAUCGCCUUGGGAAAAGGAUCAUUACUUGCAUAGCUAGCGUCAGUUUCGUUCUAUACAAGACAAAUACAGAAAAUGUAUUGGAAGUUGUAGGCAAAAACAGGUCUGUGAUGCCCUUCGAUGUUCUGGGCUGCACGCGCGCUACAAUGACAAUGUCAGCGAGUUUUUAGCUUGGGCGAAAGCUCUGGCAAAUCUUCGAAACGUUGUCGUACUAUGGAUUGUUGAUUGCAACUAUUCGACAUAAAACAGGAAUACCUAGUAGACGUGCUUCAUCAGAGUACGUCGAUUACGUCCCUGCCCUUUGUACACACCGCCCGUCGCUCCUACCGAUUGGAACAUACGGUGAAAAUCUCGGAGAGCGCAGUUCUU